rnacentral:rRNA from 1 species
UACGUAGGGGGCAAGCGUUGUCCGGAAUCAUUGGGCGUAAAGAGCGUGUAGGCGGCCCGGUAAGUCCGCCGUGAAAGUCCAGGGCUCAACCCUGGAAUGCCGGUGGAAACUGCCGGGCUGGAGUCCGGAAGAGGCGAGUGGAAUUCCUGGUGUAGCGGUGAAAUGCGCAGAUAUCAGGAGGAACACCAAUGGCGAAGGCAGCUCGCUGGGACGGUACUGACGCUGAGGCGCGAAAGCUAGGGGAGCAAACGGG